UACGGAGGGGACUAGCGUUGUUCGGAAUUACUGGGCGUAAAGCGCACGUAGGCGGAUUUGUAAGUCAGGGGUGAAAUCCCGGGGCUCAAACCUCGGAACUGCCUUUGAUACUGGGUGUCUUGAGUAUGGAAGAGGUGAGUGGAAUUCCGAGUGUAGAGGUGAAAAUUCGUAGAUAUUCGGAGGAACACCAGUGGCGAAGGCGGCUCACUGGUCCAUUACUGACGCUGAGGUGCGAAAGCGUGGGGAGCAAACAGGG
rnacentral:rRNA from 1 species